rnacentral:rRNA from 1 species
UGGCUCAGGAUGAACGCUAGCUACAGGCUUAACACAUGCAAGUCGAGGGGCAGCAUUUCAGUUUGCUUGCAAACUGGAGAUGGCGACCGGCGCACGGGUGAGUAACACGUAUCCAACCUGCCGAUAACUCGGGGAUAGCCUUUCGAAAGAAAGAUUAAUACCCGAUGGUAUAAUCAGACCGCAUGGUCUUGUUAUUAAAGAAUUUCGGUUGUCGAUGGGGAUGCGUUCCAUUAGGCAGUUGGUGAGGUAACGGCUCACCAAACCUUCGAUGGAUAGGGGUUCUGAGAGGAAGGUCCCCCACAUUGGAACUGAGACACGGUCCAAACUCCUACGGGAGGCAGCAGUGAGGAAUAUUGGUCAAUGGGCGCAGGCCUGAACCAGCCAAGUAGCGUGAAGGAUGACUGCCCUAUGGGUUGUAAACUUCUUUUAUAUGGGAAUAAAGUUUUCCACGUGUGGAAUUUUGUAUGUACCAUAUGAAUAAGGAUCGGCUAACUCCGUGCCAGCAGCCGCGGUAAUACGGAGGAUCCGAGCGUUAUCCGGAUUUAUUGGGUUUAAAGGGAGCGUAGGUGGACAGUUAAGUCAGUUGUGAAAGUUUGCGGCUCAACCGUAAAAUUGCAGUUGAUACUGGCUGUCUUGAGUACAGUAGAGGUGGGCGGAAUUCGUGGUGUAGCGGUGAAAUGCUUAGAUAUCACGAAGAACUCCGAUUGCGAAGGCAGCUCACUGGACUGCAACUGACACUGAUGCUCGAAAGUGUGGGUAUCAAACAGGAUUAGAUACCCUGGUAGUCCACACAGUAAACGAUGAAUACUCGCUGUUUGCGAUAUACAGUAAGCGGCCAAGCGAAAGCAUUAAGUAUUCCACCUGGGGAGUACGCCGGCAACGGUGAAACUCAAAGGAAUUGACGGGGGCCCGCACAAGCGGAGGAACAUGUGGUUUAAUUCGAUGAUACGCGAGGAACCUUACCCGGGCUUAAAUUGCAUUUGAAUAUAUUGGAAACAGUAUAGCCGUAAGGCAAAUGUGAAGGUGCUGCAUGGUUGUCGUCAGCUCGUGCCGUGAGGUGUCGGCUUAAGUGCCAUAACGAGCGCAACCCUUAUCUUUAGUUACUAACAGGUCAUGCUGAGGACUCUAGAGAGACUGCCGUCGUAAGAUGUGAGGAAGGUGGGGAUGACGUCAAAUCAGCACGGCCCUUACGUCCGGGGCUACACACGUGUUACAAUGGGGGGUACAGAAGGCAGCUACCUGGUGGCAGGAUGCUAAUCCCAAAAGCCUCUCUCAGUUCGGAUCGAAGUCUGCAACCCGACUUCGUGAAGCUGGAUUCGCUAGUAAUCGCGCAUCAGCCAUGGCGCGGUGAAUACGUUCCCGGGCCUUGUACACACCGCCCGUCAAGCCAUGAAAGCCGGGGGUACCUGAAGUACGUAACCGCAAGGAGCGUCCUAGGGUA